rnacentral:rRNA from 1 species
AUUGAACGCUGGCGGCAUGCUUUACACAUGCAAGUCGAACGUGAAGCCACCUUCGGGUGGUGGAAAGUGGCAGACGGGUGAGUAACGCGUGGGAACGUGUCUUUCGGUUCGGGAUAACCCAGGGAAACUUGGGCUAAUACCGGAUACGCCCUCCGGGGGAAAGAUUCAUUGCCGAAAGAUCGGCCCGCGUCGGAUUAGCUAGUUGGUGGGGUAAAAGCCUACCAAGGCGACGAUCCGUAGCUGGUCUGAGAGGAUGACCAGCCACACUGGGACUGAGACACGGCCCAGACUCCUACGGGAGGCAGCAGUGGGGAAUAUUGGACAAUGGGCGCAAGCCUGAUCCAGCCAUGCCGCGUGAGUGAUGAAGGCCUUAGGGUUGUAAAGCUCUUUCACCGAUGAAGAUAAUGACGGUAGUCGGAGAAGAAGCCCCGGCUAACUUCGUGCCAGCCGCCGCAGUAAAAC